rnacentral:rRNA from 1 species
UACAGAGGUCCCAAGCGUUGUUCGGAUUUACUGGGCGUAAAGGGUGCGUAGGUGGUCGGGUAAGUCUCAUGUGAAAUCCCGCAGCUUAACUGCGGAACGGCAUGGGAUACUAUUCGGCUAGGAUUGGAGGGGGGACUGGAAUUCCCGGUGUAGCAGUGAAAUGCGUAGAUAUCGGGAGGAACACCAGUGGCGAAGGCGAGUCCCUGGACAAUUCCUGACGCUGAGGCACGAAAGCCAGGGGAGCAAACAGG